ensembl:lncRNA
AAAAGGUCUUUGUGUGUGUAUGUAUGUGUCUCUCUCUCGCUCUCUCUCUCUCUCUCUGUCACUCACACACACACAAACACACACAGAGAGGGAGAGAAAAUCAAGUUUCUAGGUCAGUCAAGCAGCCUGGGAGCUGCUAAAUUUAAAUCCACCAAUCAGAGAGGCUGUGUACUUUUUCCCACCAAAACUGGUGCACCUGCUUACACACACACAGCACAGGGAGAGACAAGCAAGUUUCUAGGUCAGUCAAGCAGCCUGGGAGCUGCUAAAUUUGAAUCCACCAAUCAGAGAGGCUGUGUACUUUUUCCCGCCAAAACAGGUGCAGCCGUUUUUACACACUCAGCACAGAGAGAGACAGGAUUUCUGCAGUGUAUUUCUCAUAGUGAGGAUUCCUCUCAAACAAAUGGCCAUAAUUUCCUAACCGUAGGGGCUAGAACGGUCAUUCUUACACCAUUUUGUUCAGAAGAGAUGGGGGAAUCUUAAAGUGUUGACAAUUUAUCAUUAAAAUAUGAAUUAUUAAAGAUAUUUGACUUCUAAUGCACCAUAACUGAGUAGAGCAAAGCAAAAACUGCCUUGACUUGCCCUCAAACAACGCUUUCUAACUCUAAAUCUAUUUGGAGUAUCAAUAUCAUUCUUUCACCGUAAGAGACAGCAGGCUUUGGUGAACAAUCAUGGAAAUUUUCAGGUCUCUGUGGAAAUCCAUUAAAAAGAUAUGACGAGAGAAAAAAGUGGUUCAUUUCCAGAGUUUGAAAUCUGAAGAAAUCUGAGCGAAGGACGAAUUUCCUACCCUCAAACAAGUCUAACUCAUUUCAGAACGGUAAUAGGUGAGAAAAUAAUUCUUGAAUUGUGAGCGUCAGGAGUGUCUGAAGAUAUACUGGGACAAGCCUUAUGUCUUAACUUUGCUUCGUUAAGGAGAUAUGACGAUUCGAAUAUGCCUCUCAUUACAGAAAUCAAGCGGUGAUUUUGAACAAGCUCUCCAUUGACUUUCUAUGGAGAGUUUUGCGACUUUGUGUUGGUCUGAGGAGAUUUGCCAAAAUUCUAUAAAUCUCACAACAAUGAUGGUGACAUUUUCUGAAAGCCAGCAAAAAUGCCUACGUUUUGAUGUAUAAUUUGUGUGGGUUGAGUGAAAAUUGAGUGAGUAGCAAGAAGUUGUUCGGACAUGAAGAGAAAAUUGCCAAAGGUACAGUGGCUCACUUAGAACCAACUGCAUAGCAACCAUAACAACGCAUGUAUUUUGUGAAAAAUCACAAAGAUGAAACUCAAAACUUAAAGAGGGAUAAGAUGAAAACGGUAACAGAUAUGAAAAAGCUGAAUCAUUCAUGAAUAGCCCAAUAAUUUGUGAACAUUUUAAAGUUUGAAUGGUUGUUCUACGUGAAAGUAGGAAAAAGUAGUUAAGUUUCAAAAACAAGCAAGUUUUAGCAGAAUUGCGGAAGUUUCCCAUUCAUUUCAAUGGGACAAAUUAAAGGAAAAAAGCUUAAUAUUUUAAAAAGUAUAAUAGUAUAAAAUACCAAAAGUCAUAGCCGGAAUUAGCAGAAAUAGCAGAAUAGUUUAAAACUUGAACGGUGAAAAUCGGCUGAAAAUUGUUAAAGUAGUUAAGUGCCAAAAAAAGUACAAAAAAUUGGCAACUAGAAUAAUAAAGUACGAUAAAGAAUAAAGAGAAACAGGAACUCAAUAGUGUGGAUGCCUAAAGCAUCCACACAACUAGAAAAAUCUGCAUUUCCUGCGAAAAUGCUGUGUGGAUGCCUUAACGCUGAAGCUGUCUGCUGAAAAUGACUGAAAAAGAUGAAAAGCUGCUAAAAAUUAUAUGGCAGUAAAGAAACUGAAAAAUUCUGCUGAAAAGAGCUGAAGAAGCAGAAUUUUUUGCUGAAAAGCGGUGAAAAGGCAAAGAUUCUGCUUAAAAGGGGUAAAGAAAUUUGUACUGAAAAGAGGUGAAAAAGUUUCUUCUGAAAUGACCAGAAGAUACUGAGACUUAUACUGAUAAGAGGUGAAAGGCUGAAAAUUCUGCUUAAAAUAGGUGAAUCAGCAGAAUUUCUACUGAAAACAGGUAAAGAAGUAGAAAGUUGCACUGAAAACAGGUGAAAAAGCAGAAUUUCUGCUAAAAAACAGAUUUCUGCUGAAAACACCUGAAAAAGCCGGGAUUUGUGUUGAAAAGGGGUGACGAAACUCACAAUUCUGCUGAAACGGGGUGAAGAAGAGGUGUUGUGGUCUUGAGAAGAGUUAAAUAAGUUGAACUGAUAUGUUUGGGUACAAAUACUAUGAUUUGGCAAUAAUACUGCGUUUUAGCACAACUACUGAGAUUUGAUUAAAAUAUUAUGACUUUGUACAAAUACAAUGUUUUGGCACAAAUACUAUGAUUUAGUUCGAAUGCUAUGAUUUGAAACAAAUACUAUGAUUUGGCAGAAAUACUAUGAUUUAUUAGAAAUACUAUAAUUUACCAGAAAUUCUCUGUUUCUGCAAAAACACUCUGAUUUUGAAAAUUACUAUGCCUUAGUAGUAAUACUAUAACAUAACAGAUAUACUGUGAUUAUGCAGACAUUCUGUUUUUACACAAAUACUAUAAUAUGGCAGAAAUACUAUGUUUUAGUACAAAUACUAUGAUUUGCUUUAAAUACUAUGAUUUGGCACAUAUACUAUGAUUUGUUAUAAAUACUAUGAUUUGGCACAUAUACUAUAUUCAGCAGAUAUACUAUAACAUAACAGAAAGUCUACGACUUAGAAGUAAUACUAUAACAUAACAGAUAUACUGUGAUUAUGCAGACAUUCUGUUUUUACACAAAUACUAUAAUAUGGCAGAAAUACUAUGUUUUAGUACAAAUACUAUGAUUUGCUUUAAAUACUAUGAUUUGGCACAUAUACUAUAUUCAGCACAUAUACUUUAACAUAUGAUUUAGAAGAAAUACUAUGACUCCAUACAAAUACGAUGCUUUGGCACAAAUAUUAUGAUUUGCUAUAAAUACUAUGAUUUGGCACAUAUACUAUAUUCAGCAGAUAUACUAUAACAUAACAGAAAGUCUACGACUUAGUAGUAAUACUAUAACAUAACAGAUAUAGUAUGAUUUUGCAGACAGUCUAUGUUUUUGUACAAAUACCACAAUAUGGCAGAAAUACUAUGAUUCGGCACAAGUACUAUGAUUUAGUACAAAUACUAUGAUUGGGCAGAAAUACUAUGUUUCAGUACAAAUACUAUGAUUUGGCAGGAAUAGUAUGAUUUAGCAGAAAUACUAUGAUUGGGUACAAAUACUACGAAUUGGCAGAAAUACUGUGACUUAGUAGCAAUACUAUAACAUAACAGAUAUACUGUGAUUAUGCAGACAUUCUGUUUUUACACAAAUACUAUAAUAUGGCAGAAAUACUAUGUUUUAGUACAAAUACUAUGAUUUGCUUUAAAUACUACGAUUUGGCACAUAUACUAUAUUCAGCACAUAUACUUUAACAUAUGAUUUAGAAGAAAUACUAUGACUCCAUACAAAUACGAUGCUUUGGCACAAAUACUAUGAUUUGCUCUAAAUACUAUGAUAUGGCACAUAUACUAUGAUUUGCUAUAAAUACUAUGAUUUGGCACAUAUACUAUAUUCAGCAGAUAUACUAUAACAUAACAGAAAGUCUACGACUUAGAAGUAAUACUAUAACAUAACAGAUAUACUGUGAUUAUGCAGACAUUCUGUUUUUACACAAAUACUAUAAUAUGGCAGAAAUACUAUGAUUUGGCACAAGUACUAUGAUUUAGUACAAAUACUAUGAUUGGGCAGAAAUACUAUGUUUCAGUACAAAUCCUAUGAUUUGGCAGGAAUAGUAUGAUUUAGCAGAAAUACUAUGAUUGGGUACAAAUACUACGAAAUACUACAAAUACCUGAAAACAGGUGAAGAAGCACAAAUUUUUGCUGAAAAGUGGUGGAAAGAAAUUUUGCCAUGAGCAGGAUUUGAACCUGGCCUUCCUGGUCUCAAGGGAGCUACUCAUCUCACUGAGCCAAACUCAUUCUCUCAAAGAAGAGGUGGAUAGACUGACAAUUCUGCUGAAAUCAGCAGAAGCUGCUGAGAAUUGUGCUGAUAAGAGGCGAAAAGGAUGAAAAUUUUGCAGAAAAGAGGUGAAUCAGCAGAAUUUCUGCAGAAAAGAGGCAAAGAAGCAGAAAGUUGUGCUGAAAAGAGGUGAAUCAGCAGAGUUUCUGCUGAAAAGAGUUUUUUUUCUGAAAACAGCCCAAAAAAGCUGGAAUUUGUGCUGAAAAGGGGUGAAAAAAAUGAAAAUUUUGCUGAAAAGGGGUGAAGAAGCUAAAGUAUACCAAAUCAAAGUAUUUGUGCCAAAACAUAGUGUUUCUGCCAUAUUGUGGUACUACUACAUUACAACAUGAAUACGGAUUAAAGAUGAAAGAAACUGGCAACAAAUUCCUCCACUACAAACCAGUCUGAUACCACUUCUUUGCAGUGUUCACGUUUACUAAGGCACUACCCAAAAGGCGCCACAAGAGGGCACUCCAACAC